UACGUAGGGUGCGAGCGUUAAUCGGAAUUACUGGGCGUAAAGCGUGCGCAGGCGGUUUUGUAAGCCGGAUGUGAAAUCCCCGGGCUUAACCUGGGAAUGGCAUUCGGGACUGCAAGGCUGGAGUGCGGCAGAGGAGACUGGAAUUCCUGGUGUAGCAGUGAAAUGCGUAGAUAUCACGAGGAACACCGAUGGCGAAGGCAGGUCUCUGGGCUGACACUGACGCUCAUGCACGAAAGCGUGGGGAGCAAACAGG
rnacentral:rRNA from 1 species